CAUCAUUAAGGGUGAUUUACGCUGAGGCACGAAAAAGUGCGGAUAUCAACACAGGAUUAUAUACCCUGUAGUGUCACGCACAGUAAACGAUGAAUGCUCGUUCUGGGCAAUAUACUAUCAGGCCCAGCGAAAGCCAUUAGCCAUUCCACUGGGGAGUUAGACCGCAAGCGGAAACUUCAAAGAAAUGACGGGGGGCCGCACACAGCGGAAGGACCAUGUGUUUAAUUUCGAUGAUAGCGAGGGACCUUUACCCGGGCUUGAAUUGCAGAGGAGAGAUCCAGAGAUGGUGAUGUCCUUCGGGACAUCUGUGAAGGUGCUGCAUGGUUGUCGUCAGCUCGUGCCGUGAGGUGUCGGCAUAAGUGCCAUAACGAGCGCAACCCUUGUCAUCAGUUACCAUCAGGUUGUGCUGGGCACUCUGGCGGGACUGCCAUCGCAAGAUGUGAGGAAGGGGGGGAUGACGUCAAAUCAGCACGGCCCUUACGUCCGGGGCGACACACGUGGACAAUGGGGGGCACAGAAUGCCGCUGGGGGGUGACAUCCGGCAAAUCUACAAAACCCCUCUCAGUUCGGACUGGAGUGUGCAACCCGACUCAGGAAGCG
rnacentral:rRNA from 1 species